rnacentral:rRNA from 2 species
GUCUACGGCCAUACCACCCUGAACGCGCCCGAUCUCGUCUGAUCUCGGAAGCUAAGCAGGGUCGGGCCUGGUUAGUACUUGGAUGGGAGACAUGAGGGCAGUGUCUGGUGCAAAGGCA